GACGAACGCUGGCGGCGUGCUUAACACAUGCAAGUCGAACGGAAAGGCCCUGCUUUUGUGGGGUGCUCGAGGGGCGAACGGGCGAGUAACACGUGAGUAACCUGCCCUUGACUUUGGGAUAACUCCAGGAAACUGGGGCUAAUACCGGAUAGGAGCUCCUGCUGCAUGGUGGGGGUUGGAAAGAUUGGGCGGUUGGGGAUGGACUCGCGGCUUAUCAGCUUGUUGGUGGGGUAGUGGCUUACCAAGGCUUUGACGGGUAGCUGGCCUGAGAGGGUGACCGGCCACAGUGGCACUGUGCUACGGCCCAGACCCCUACGGGAGGCAGCAGUGGGGAAUAUUGCACGAUGGGCGGAAGCCUGGUGCAGCAACGCCGCGUGCGGGAUGACGGCCUUCGGGUUGUCAACCGCUUUCGCCUGUGACGAAGCGUGAGUGACGGUACUGGGUAAAGAAGCACCGGCUAACUACGUG
rnacentral:rRNA from 1 species